rnacentral:lncRNA from 1 species
CUGCAGCCUGAGUUCCCCGGAGCAAGGCUGCUUCUCUCCACCCACUCCUCACCAAGAACUCCUGAACUUGAGAGUGGACGACUUCAAAGCUAGCUCUCACAGACUCACCUGGAAAAGAGUUCAGCUGCGCGUUCAUUGAACCGAGAGGCCAGAUCACCUAUGUGAGGCGGUGGGAACCAUAUGGAGAUUUAUAUUAGAACUUCAGCAAAGUGCACAGCUGCAGCCGGCAGAAGCCAGCUCUCGGGCUGACAGGCAAAUGAACCAGAUCGUGGACGGGGCCUCUGGGUGGCAGCUCCGGCCUUUUGGUUGUUGGACAACUAUAGUCAGAACUGAAAUGGAACAGGGGCAGGAGAAAUAACACACUUUUACUCCACGCAACUGUUGCUUUCACAUGAUCUUCAGGAAUGUAACUGGGAUAAUUGUCCAAAUUGAAUCCCAUACCCUGUCAUGGUACUGAUUAUUAAGGUGACUAUAUGAAAGGAUCACUCCAAAAUAACACAUACCAGAAUAGGAGUCCUGUCUUAACUGAGCAAUAUACACUAUGGAGAGAUCCUUCAAAACCCGUCGGGACGAAUAACAGAUGAAUUCAUAAAACUGUUCAUCUCUGUUAUCCUGAAUGGUCACUCAGACAACAUUUUACUCAACUAUAAAGGGGAACACUUAAAGUGCAUAUGAGAAGAGAAGAGAAUGACCACAGGAGAAAAUCAUCUCAGCUUUCUCCACCCAGGGCAAAGGCAACAACAACAAACGUCCUAUACUCAAGCCGACUGACCUCAUCUCGUUCCACCCCACCUCAUCCAAUCAGAAAUCUCACACGCUCCAGGCAAGAGCUCAAGUCAGUCACCGAUAGGCUGACAGAUCCGGAUCACGAGCAAUACGCAUGCUUUUUUACUGCGCAUGCUCAGGCAAGGCAGUAAACAUGGAGAAGCAUAUUGUGUGAUGUUCUAUAUUUAUGAGACCCAUAGCAAACUGUGAAGAGAUAACAGAAUGCUUUUUGCGUGAGCUGAAACAGUAGAUGAAAUCUUUCAUUAAAAUUACUCAUACUUUGGGUCCUAUUCUUAUUUAUAAAUAAAUAUUAUUGCAAA